AAUUAUGCUGAUUGCUUAUUGCACCACAUGUGUUUUUCUUUGAAACAAACUUGCUUUGGCGGUGGGCCCAGCCUGCCGCCAGAGGUCUAAACUUACAACCAAUUUUUUAUCAACUUGUCACACCAGAUUAUUACUUAAUAGUCAAAACUUUCAACAACGGAUCUCUUGGUUCUCGCAUCGAUGAAGAACGCAGCGAAAUGCGAUACGUAAUAUGAAUUGCAGAUAUUCGUGAAUCAUCGAAUCUUUGAACGCACAUUGCGCCCUCUGGUAUUCCGGAGGGCAUGCCUGUUUGAGCGUCGUUUCUCCCUCAAACCGCUGGGUUUGGUGUUGAGCAAUACGACUUGGGUUUGCUUGAAAGACGGUAGUGGUAAGGCGGGAUCGCUUUGACAAUGGCUUAGGUCUAACCAAAAACAUUGCUUGCGGCGGUAACGUCUACCACGUAUAUCUUCAAACUUUGACCUCAAAUCAGGUAGGACUACCCGCUGAACUUAAGCAU
rnacentral:rRNA from 1 species